UCCAGUUGUCAGUAGGUCUGCUCUAGAACUUUCUCCAGUUGUCAGUAGGUCUACUCUAGAACUUUCCCCAGGUGCCAGUAGGUCUACCUCAGAACUUUCUCCAGGUGCCGGUUGGUCUACUGUAGAACUUUCUCCAGUUGUCAGUAGGUCUACUCUAGAACUUUCUCCAGUUGUCAGUAGGUCUACUCUAGAACUUUCUCCAGUUGUCAGUAGGUCUACUCUAGAACUUUCC